UAAAAGGAUUGCCCUAGUAGCGGCGAGCGAAGCGGGAAGAGCUCAAAUUUAUAAUCUGGCACCUUCGGUGUCCGAGUUGUAAUCUCUAGAAAUGUUUUCCGCGUUGGACCGCACACAAGUCUGUUGGAAUACAGCGGCAUAGUGGUGAGACCCCCGUAUAUGGUGCGGACGCCCAGCGCUUUGUGAUACAUUUUCGAAGAGUCGAGUUGUUUGGGAAUGCAGCUCAAAUUGGGUGGUAAAUUCCAUCUAAAGCUAAAUAUUGGCGAGAGACCGAUAGCGAACAAGUACCGUGAGGGAAAGAUGAAAAGCACUUUGGAAAGAGAGUUAACAGUACGUGAAAUUGUUGGAAGGGAAACGCUUGAAGUCAGACUUGCUUGCCGAGCAAUCGGUUUGCAGGCCAGCAUCAGUUUUCCGGGAUGGAUAAUGGUAGAGAGAAGGUAGCAGUUUCGGCUGUGUUAUAGCUCUCUGCUGGAUACAUCUUGGGGGACUGAGGAACGCAGUGUGCCUUUGGCGGGGGUUUCGACCUCUUCACACUUAGGAUGCUGGUGGAAUGGCUUUAAACGACCCGUCUUAA
rnacentral:rRNA from 1 species